UACGUAGGGACCAAGCGUUGUUCGGAUUUACUGGGCGUAAAGGGCGCGUAGGCGGCCAGACAGGUCCGUUGUGAAAACUAGAGGCUUAACCUCUAGACGUCGAUGGAAACCGUCUGGCUAGAGUCCGGAAGAGGAGAAUGGAAUUCCUGGUGUAGCGGUGAAAUGCGCAGAUAUCAGGAAGAACACCCGUGGCUAAGGCGGUUCUCUAGUACGGUACUGACGCUGAGACGCGAAAGCGUGGGGAGCGAACAGG
rnacentral:rRNA from 1 species